GAUGAACGCUGGCGGCGUGCCUAAUACAUGCAAGUCGAGCGAACAGACGAGGAGCUUGCUCCUCUGACGUUAGCGGCGGACGGGUGAGUAACACGUGGAUAACCUACCUAUCAGACUGGGAUAACUUCGGGAAACCGGAGCUAAUACCGGAUAACAUGCUGAACCGCAUGGUUCAACAGUGAAAGACGGUCUUGCUGUCACUUAUAGAUGGAUACGGGCCGCAUUAGCUAGUUGGUAAGGUAACGGCUUACCACGGCAACGAUGCGUAGCCGACCUGAGAGGGGGAUCGGCGACACUGGAACUGAGACGCGGUCCAGACUCCGACGGGAGGCAGCAGUAGGGAAUCUUCCGCGAUGGGCGAAAGACUGACGGAGCAACGCCGCGUGAGUGAAGAAGGUCUUCGGAUCGUAAAACUCUGUUAUGAGGGAAGAACAAAUGUGUAUGUAACUAUGCACGUCUGGACGUUACCUAAUCAGAAAGCCACGGCUAACUACGU
rnacentral:rRNA from 1 species